UGUUGUUACUUAAAAGUAUGGAAUAAGUUAACGUAGACCUAGUUAUUAAUUUUCUUUGGUCCACAACAAUAAUUGCAUCUCAAUACAUGUCCCUGCCACCUCCUUGUUUACACCCUACUAUUUAUGCAUACAAAUCUUCCUAUAAAUAGAGCCCAAGAAUGUAUCAGUUUCUUCAUCCCUCAAUUUUCAAUUAUCAUAAGUACUAAGCUUUGAAAAAAAAAUAGAAUGGGUUCCAAAACAUUUCUGUUGCUUGGCCUAUUUUUGGCUAUUUUCUUAAUGAUUACCUCCGAGGUUGUAGCUAGGGAAUUGAGUGAAACUCCCAACUCAGCGAAGGAAGUAGACGUUGAUGGUGUUGGAGGUGACCAUUAUAAUAAAGGUGGAGGACACAAAGGAUGUCAUUAUAAAUGCCAUGGACAUUGCUGCACUUAUGAAGAAUAUAUGGCCAUGGAAAAAGCCACUGAAUCACAGCA